UAGAAGAGGCUGUACAAAAACCUGAACACAGAUAUGUGACUACUCUUCAAAGAGGAGGGAAGUGGUAUUCAAACCACAGCUUCAUAUCAGAUGGAUUCUGCUCAUUCCUGUUCCAUCAGAGUCACUGUGGUUACAGCUGCUAAUGAAACACUGUGGGAGGAUUCACAUGAGCAGCAAAUCCACAUCACUGACAAACCACUGUGGGCCAUUCAGGCUCAAUCAGCUCCUUCCAUUGUUUAAUAUCCUUGGCAACAUGUUGGGCUCCAUCUGAAACAGACACUAAAGCACUGACUAAUAAACACUAACUGUGUACAAGCCAUAACAAAGACUGACUGCUGCAUUAUUUCUGACUGACACACAGGGCUGUGAAUGAGCCCUGUCACUGUGAUCAGGCUCCUCCUUCUAAUCCACCAACUUAGUGUUGAUGAAGACCAAACAGAGAGAUCACAGCCUUCUUUAUACUCGCUGGAGCUCACAGUUACUCAGCACUGCAGACAUGACGCCUCUGUUCACCUCACUGUUGCUGGCUGCUAUGUGCUUUGAAUGCAGAGCACAGAAAGACAACGUGCUGCAACCAAAAGAAGAUGUGACUGCUGCUGAAGGAGAGGCAGUAACACUUGGCUGUCAAUAUAACAGCAGUGGAACCAAUAAUUAUCUCUUCUGGUACAAACAGGAGGGAAACAACAGCCCCAAAUUCAUACUGAACCGCGUUCAAGGGACUUCAGGGAACACACCAGACGAGUUCAAGGAGAGGUUUUCAUCCACACUGAAUUCCACCUUAAGAUCAGGUCCUCUGAAGAUCCAGAAGCUUCAGCUGUCUGACUCUGCUGUGUACUACUGUGCUCUGCAGCCCACAGUGACAGGAAACACCAAAACUCUGUACAAAAACCUUUGGAGCAAAGACAACAGAAUACUCCACAACAUCCACUAGAGGGAGUCACACACU